AGAGUUUGAUCAUGGCUCAGAUUGAACGCUGGCGGCAUGCUUUACACAUGCAAGUCGAACGCGGUCGGGGGGCAACUCCUGACUGAGUGGCGAACGGGUGAGUAAUACAUCGGAACGUACCCCGUUGUGGGGGAUAACCCACCGAAAGGUGGGCUAAUACCGCAUACGUCCCGAGGGGGAAAGCGGGGGACCUGAGAGGGCCUCGCGCGAUGGGAGCGGCCGAUGUCGGAUUAGCUAGUAGGUUGGGUAAAGGCUGACCUAGGCGACGAUCCGUAGCUGGUCUGAGAGGAUGAUCAGCCACACUGGGACUGAGACACGGCCCAGACUCCUACGGGAGGCAGCAGUGGGGAAUUUUGGACAAUGGGGGCAACCCUGAUCCAGCCAUGCCGCGUGAGUGAAGAAGGCCUUCGGGUUGUAAAGCUCUUUCGGCCGGAACGAAAUCGCAUCUUCUAAUACGGGGUGUGGAUGACGGUACCGGAAGAAGAAGCACCGGCUAACUACGUGCCAGCAGCCGCGGUAAUACGUAGGGUGCGAGCGUUAAUCGGAAUUACUGGGCGUAAAGCGUGCGCAGGCGGCUCUUCAAGUCAGAUGUGAAAGCCCCGGGCUUAACCUGGGAACUGCGUUUGAAACUGGGAGGGCUAGAGUGUGGCAGAGGGAGGUGGAAUUCCACGUGUAGCAGUGAAAUGCGUAGAGAUGUGGAGGAACACCGAUGGCGAAGGCAGCCUCCUGGGCCAACACUGACGCUCAGGCACGAAAGCGUGGGGAGCAAACAGGAUUAGAUACCCUAGUAGUCC
rnacentral:rRNA from 1 species